rnacentral:rRNA from 1 species
UACGAAGGUGGCAAGCGUUGUUCGGAUUUACUGGGCGUAAAGGGAGCGUAGGUGGUUAGGUAAGCCCUCCGGGAAAUCUUCAGGCUUAACCUGAAAAGGUCGGGGGGGACUGCCUAGCUAGAGGGCGGGAGAGGAGCGCGGAAUUCCCGGUGUAGCGGUGAAAUGCGUAGAUAUCUGGAGGAACACCGGUGGCGAAGGCGGCAUCCUGGACCGGUAUUGACGCUGAGGCGCGAAAGCCAGGGGAGCAAACGGG